GAGUAACACGUGUGUGAUCUGCCCUGCACUCUGGGAUAAGCCUGGGAAACUGGGUCUAAUACCGGAUAGGACCACACACUUCAUGGUGAGUGGUGCAAAGCUUUUGCGGUGUGGGAUGAGCCCGCGGCCUAUCAGCUUGUUGGUGGGGUAAUGGCCCACCAAGGCGACGACGGGUAGCCGGCCUGAGAGGGUGACCGGCCACACUGGGACUGAGAUACGGCCCAGACUCCUACGGGAGGCAGCAGUGGGGAAUAUUGCACAAUGGGCGCAAGCCUGAUGCAGCGACGCCGCGUGAGGGAUGACGGCCUUCGGGUUGUAAACCUCUUUCAGUAGGGACGAAGCGAAAGUGACGGUACCUACAGAAGAAGGACCGGCCAACUACGUGC
rnacentral:rRNA from 1 species